CGGCAUGUUCAUCAAUGUUCCAAGAAAACUCUCGAGGAUAUUCUUCGUGAUAUGCAUUUGAUCAAGGCUAUGAGGCGUGUCUAGUUUGGGCCAGUAUUCCAAGUCCCAGAAAAAGACCUUGUUUUCCAUACCUUCAGCAACGACUCUAGCACCUUUUCGUUCGUCUUUUCCGGCGAGGGGCACUUUUCCCAGUUCUUCAACAACUCAUCAAUUUUGAUGCCGCUACGCUUGCGUGGAGGUUCUCUAUGCUCAACCUUACCAUUGAAUAGAUCACCACGCUUUCUCCACGGGUCAUCCUUAUCGAUCCAUCUUCGAUGCCCCAUGUAUAUGAUUUUUGAAGACCCGCCAUUUUUUGAUAGAUGCUGGGACAUUCUAUUAUCCAUGCGCCGGGUGCAUCCACAAUAUCUGUGGCACACCUAGCACGACAUAUCCGUAACUGAUAUAGUCGUGCACCAUCGUGAUCAACACGACUCUCAUGUAAAAAUACUCUCAUGUUUUGGCGUCCCAUAUCUUGGUCGGCAUUGUCCAUAACGUGUCUAGCUCCUCUUUCAGUAACCUAAAAUACAAACUAAUACCAUUUCCCGGUUGUGUUGGCCUUAUAAUAAGC
rnacentral:lncRNA from 1 species